rnacentral:lncRNA from 1 species
AGCAAAAUAAAUUCAUACAUACAGUGGCACACGCAGCCAGAUAUACAAAAUAUUCUACAAUGACAUGUGGGCCUAAAAAAUAAACAUAUAUGUACAAGACUAUAGAUCUGUGAUUUCUAAGGAUGCAAACCAAAAAGCAAACUCUCGACAUAAUUAGUGGUCUACAGACUGCCCUGAGCUUGAAUGGGUGAAAAGAAUGGGUGAGUUUUUAUAAACCCAGUGAGUAAGCAAAUUUCAUCAAAAACAUCUAAAACCGAGUAAAUAGAGACAAUUUAAAAUAUCUCAUCAUAAUAUGAUUCAUAACAUCAAAUCUCAUUUCAUUUCAUAUAAAUCAAUUUGGCUUAUGAUUCUCGUAAAAACUUGGCUUAUGCUAAAAACUUGCACUCGAUGACACCUUGCGCCUAAGCAUCCGACCGAGUCUGCCAAGGCUGUUAAAAUAACAUAUGAGUAUAAAACUCAUUUUUUUACAUUUAAAAGCACAGCCAUUCCUUGGCGUUGGCUGAGUUUCACCUUUAUGUGGUGGUUUGGCGUGAGAUGAACUCUAACUUUACCUUAGGAGAUACCCUCCGCGCCUCUCAUACUAAGGUAAAAUAUAACAGGGUUUACCGUGCCUUUCUCAUAGGCCGAUCCAUGGAAACCUGCCCACUGCAGUAAGCUAAAUACAUAACCCACCAAAUCAAUAAAAUUUCGGCAGCAUAACAUGGCUAAUAUAAUAUUACCAGCCUGUCAAUGUAAGACAAAAUAAUUUAUAUAAUUCACAAAACCACAAUUUCAUAAGCCAUUAAUUCAAAUCAUGUAUAUAUAUAUAUAUAACACGAAUGUAUAGCCUUCACUUACUCUAUUUCGAAAACCAGUAUUCAAUUUCAAAACAAGUUAUAAAUCUCAUUUCGUUUAAUCAACACUUCAAUUAUAAAACAUAAUAGUUUGCAAUUUAAAUUCAUUUUUCUUUAAAACAUAAAAACGAGUAUAAACUACUUUAGAUAGUUGAGAUAAAAGUAUGAUUACUCACAAUAGCAGGAGUUUGGAGUACUCCUAUUCUUGAUCCUCGGGCACAAUAUCUUUACCCUUAUCAAAGGGCUCACCAUCUAUACAUAAUACAUGACACGUAAUUCAAUAUAUUUGUGCCAAACUGUUAUAAAACUAUUUC